GCUGGGCGUGGUGGCUCACGCCUGUAAUCCCAAAACUUUGGGAGGCCGAGGCAGGCGGAUCACCUGAGGUCAGGAGUUCAAGACCAGCCUGGCCAACACGGUGAAACCCUGUCUCUA
ensembl:misc_RNA Metazoa_SRP Metazoan signal recognition particle RNA